rnacentral:rRNA from 1 species
GACGAACGCUGGCGGCGUGCUUAACACAUGCAAGUCGAACGAUGAACCUCAAACUGACAUCUUCGGAAGGAUUUUUGAGAGGAUUAGUGGCGAACGGGUGAGUAACGCGUGAGCAACCUGCCUUAGACAAGGGGAUAGCCUCGGGAAACCGUGAUUAAUACCCUAUGAGACUCCACUUACGAGUGUAAGAGAAGUUAAAGCUAUUGCGGUCUAAGAUGGGCUCGCGUCUGAUUAGCUAGUUGGUGAGAUAAAAGCCCACCAAGGCGACGAUCAGUAACCGGCUUGAGAGAGUGAACGGUCACAUUGGAACUGAGACACGGUCCAAACUCCUACGGGAGGCAGCAGUGGGGAAUAUUGCACAAUGGGGGCAACCCUGAUGCAGCGACGCCGCGUGAGCGAUGAAGGAAUUCGUUUCGUAAAGCUCUGUCCUUGGAGAAGAUAAUGACGGUAACCAAGGAGGAAGCACCGGCUAAAUACGUG